AUGGUAGAGCAACGCAAGAUCUCUGCGGCCAUGGUAUCUGAGGAAAGGUCAUUUGUGCUCAAGGUAGAUGAAUACUCAAGAGUCAAGGCGCAACUCAAGAUCGGCGAGAGCCUGACUUCUACCCCUUUCACUGUUGGAGGCCACAAAUGGACCGUGAGAUAUUACCCAAAUGCUGUCUGGGCGUUUAAUGCCGAUUCCAUCUCUCUUUAUCUAUGUCUCGAAUCUGCUGGUGCUGAAGAUGUGAAGGCGAAAUUCACGCUCAGUGUACUUGACAAGAAUGGAGAACCCGUGCCUUCCUACAGCCAUACCAACCCAAUGCGUACCUUCUCUAAAAGUUCAGUCUGGGGCUCCGAACUCGCGAUCAAGAGGGCUGAUCUGGAGAGAUCGGCGUACCUGAGAGAUGAUUGUCUCACCAUCAGGUGUGAUCUCACCGUGGCAAAGGAGAUCAAGAGCCAAGAAACAAGGGUUGCUCCCAGCGACCUGCACCAACAUCUGGGUGACCUCCUCAAGAACAAAGACGCAGCAGACCUAGUCUUUCAGGUUGGUGGAAAGAGAUUCUCCGCUCACAGGUGUGUCCUUGCUGCUAGGUCAUCGGUCUUCAAGGCGGAGCUCCUCGGCGCCAUGAAGGAGAGUUCCGCAGCUCUUCCUAUUGAAAUUCAUGACAUGGAAGCUCAUGUGUUCGAGUCCUUGCUCCACUUCAUAUACACCGACUCUGUCCCUGAGCUUGAGAUGGCUUCCAACAAAGGCGAAACUGGUGUGGUUAUGGCUGGCCAUCUACUGGUAGCAGCUGACAGAUACAACAUCAUCAGGCUGAAGCAGAUAUGUGAGGAGAAAUUGUGCAAUCACAUCGACUCUAACAUGGUGGCAACCAGUUUGGCUUUAGCCGAGCAGCAUGGAUUCCAUCGUCUCAAAGAAGCUUGUUUGCAGUUCCUUGCUUCUCCGUCCAACUUCGAUGCGAUGGUGGCAAGUGAUGGGUAUGAGCAUCUGAAAUCAAGCUGCCCAUCUGUUCUCAAGGAGCUCAUAGCUAGAAUGAUCCCGUCUGAAUUUAAGUCGGCAAAGGAUGUUAUCAUGGCAAUUUAG
rnacentral:rRNA from 1 species